CAGUUGGUUAGAGCGCGCGCUUGAUAAGCGUGAGGUCGGAGGUUCAAGUCCUCCCAGGCCCACCACUUCUCCUCGAUAUCUAUGGGGAAACAAUCAGGGGCCGUAGCUCAGCUGGGAGAGCGCCUGCUUUGCAAGCAGGAUGUCGUCGGUUCGAUCCCGUCCGGCUCCACCACUUGCGCAAUCCGUAGGAUUGUCGCUUCAGCCGCCGCGUUGCGGUUUGGCGAGCGCGCAAUCCGCAAGGAUUGUCGCCUUGAAGAGGUGUCGAGUAGAGAUGAGACGUCAGAAAAAAGUCAUUCGUAAAAAAGGUUUGUGGUGAGCAUCUGGCUCGCCGCUUGUUCUGUUUGACAUCGUAAAGAGAAGAUUUGUUCGAAGUUCAUGGCAGUAAUGCUGUGAUUUGUCGCGGGAGACGCUCAAUCUCCCGCAUAUGAUGGGUUUGCCUAACCGCACCCUCGAACCGAUCUCGAGAAGCUGGUCUUUUUGUGCCAAUGACAUCGAAGCUGGAUCCCGCACAGGAUCUGCUUCAGGCGACAAUUCCUUUGGAAUUGCGCGGACGCUAACCUCGUAAGGGGAAGGCUGAAGCGACAAUCCUUCGGAUUGCGCGGAUGGGCAUUGGCAAUGAGAACGAUCAAGUGUCUUAAGGGCAAUUGGUGGAUGCCUUGGCAUGCACAGGCGAUGAAGGACGUGAUACGCUGCGAUAAGCUACGU
rnacentral:misc_RNA from 1 species